UAGGUUUGUUUGCCUAAUGUUCAAUUUGCCAUGGAUUUUAUGUCUUUUCAGGGACAUUGUCAGAAUGAGCAGGAUAAAAUUACACCCAGCUGAACCUUGGAAAAAUGAAGUGCAAACUACCACUGGUGAUGGAGAUUCCAGUGCUCGGCCUAUUUUCAGACUUGGCUAG
rnacentral:lncRNA from 1 species